AAACCAUGCAUCGAGCAUUUUCUAAUUAACUCCUUGAAUUACUUCCAUGCUUCAUAUAAUGUUUCAUCCUUAGAUUUCCGAAAGGAUGUAAUAUCGUUCCUCAGUUU
rfam:Gossypium raimondii chromosome 4, whole genome shotgun sequence.